rnacentral:rRNA from 1 species
UUAAGUGACGAUAGCCUAGGAGAUACACCUGUACCCAUGCCGAACACAGCAGUUAAGCCCUAGAACGCCUGAUGUAGUUGGGGG